CUGGUUGAUCCUGCCAGUAGUGAUAUGCUUGUUUCAAAGAUUAAGCCAUGCAUGUCUAAGUAUAAGCGAACUUAUACAGUGAAACUGCGGAUGGCUCAUUAAAACAGUUUGAAUUUAUUUGAUGAAUGUAUGAGAAUACUACUUGGAUAACCGUAGUAAUUCUAGAGCUAAUACAUGCAACGACGCCCGACCGUUUCACUACGGAAGGGCUGUAUUUAUUGGAUACCAAAACCAUCCUUCCCUCGGGAAGUUUUGUUUGAUGAUUCACAAUAACUGAUCGGAUCGCCACUGUGGUGGCGACAGGUCAUUCAACAUUCUGCCCUAUCAGCUUUCGAUGGUUGUGUAGUGGACAACCAUGGCCAUAACGGGUAACGGAGAAUCAGGGUUCGAUUCCGGAGAAGGAGCUUGAGAAUUGGCUACUACAUCUGAGGAAGGCAGCAGGCGCGCAAAUUACCCAAUCCCGAUUCGGGGAGGUAGUGACAAAAAAUAACAAUACCGGGCCUUUUUGGGCUUGGUAAUUGGAAUGAGGGAGAGUUAAACGGACCAUCGAGUAUCCACUGGAGGGCAAGUCUGGUGCCAGCAGCUGCGGUAAUACCAGCUCCAAUAGCGUAUAUUAAAGUUGUUGCAGUUAAAAAGCUCGUAGUUGGACUUGUGUGCGCUGUCCGCGGGUGGCCUGCGCCCAAAAGGGCGUUUCGGUUCGGCCCCGGUGGCGCCUUGAAAUCUCAGCUGGGGGGACGAUGGCCUUAACUGGUCGGCGACCGCACGCCGGCUGCUCGGUUACUGUGAGAAAAUUAGAGUGUUCAAGGCAGGCAUUGGGUGCAAUUGAAUACAUUAGCAUGGAAUAAUAAAAUAUGGCUCCUGCCGUAUUUUGUUGGUUUUGACUGGUGGGAGUAAUGAUUGAUAGGGACGGUUGGGGGUGCUAGUAUUGAGCGGCCAGAGGUGAAAUUCAUGGAUUCGCUCAAGACUAACUUAUGCGAAAGCAUUCACCAAGGACGUCCUCUUUAAUCAAGAACGAAAGUUGGGGGAUCGAAGACGAUCAGAUACCGUCGUAGUCUCAACCAUAAACUAUGUCGACUUGGGAUCGGCGGUAGUUUUUUCAUUAAGACACUGUCGGGACCACGGGAGAAAUCAAAGUGUCUGGACUCUGGGGGAAGUAUGGUCGCAAGGCUGAAACUUGAAGGAAUUGACGGAAGGGCACCACCAGGAGUGGAGCCUGCGGCUUAAUUUGACCCAACACGGGGAAACUUACCAGGUCCAGAGAUGUAGAGGAUUGACAGAUUGAAGCUCUUUCUUGAUCACUUCGGUGGUGGUGCAUGGCCGUUCUUAGUUGGUGGAGUGAG
rnacentral:rRNA from 1 species